rnacentral:rRNA from 1 species
GAUGAACGCUGGCGGCGUGCCUAACACAUGCAAGUCGAACGGAGUCGUUUUGGAAAUCUCUUCAGAGAUGGAAUUCUCGACUUAGUGGCGGACGGGUGAGUAACGCGUGAGCAAUCUGCCUUUAAGAGGGGGAUAACAGUCGGAAACGGCUGCUAAUACCGCAUAAAGCAUUAAAUUCGCAUGUUUUUGAUGCCAAAGGAGCAAUCCGCUUUUAGAUGAGCUCGCGUCUGAUUAGCUAGUUGGCGGGGUAACGGCCCACCAAGGCGACGAUCAGUAGCCGGACUGAGAGGGUGAACGGCCACAUUGGGACUGAGACACGGCCCAGACUCCUACGGGAGGCAGCAGUGGGGAAUAGUGCGCAAUGGGGGAAACCCUGACGCAGCAACGCCGCGUGAUGGAAGAAGGCCUUCGGGUUGUAAAGAUCUUUAAUCAGGGACGAAACAAAUGACGGUACCUGAAGAAUAAGCGCCGGCUAACUACGUG